UGGCUGCAGUGGGGAAUAUUGCACAAUGGGCGCAAGCCUGAUGCAGCCAUGCCGCGUGUGUGAAGAAGGCCUUCGGGUUGUAAAGCACUUUCAGUAAGGAGGAAAGGGUGUGUUUUAAUAGAGCACAUCUGUGACGUUACUUACAGAAGAAGCACCGGCUAACUCCGUGCCAGCAGCCGCGGUAAUACGGAGGGUGCGAGCGUUAAUCGGAAUUACUGGGCGUAAAGCGUACGCAGGCGGUUUGUUAAGCGAGAUGUGAAAGCCCUGGGCUCAACCUGGGAACUGCAUUUCGAACUGGCAAACUAGAGUGUGAUAGAGGGUGGUAGAAUUUCAGGUGUAGCGGUGAAAUGCGUAGAGAUCUGAAGGAAUACCGAUGGCGAAGGCAGCCACCUGGGUCAACACUGACGCUCAUGUACGAAAGCGUGGGGAGCAAACAGGAUUAGAUACCCUGGUAGUC
rnacentral:rRNA from 1 species